AAGUCGUAACAAGGUUUCUGUAGGUGAACCUGCAGAAGGAUCAUUAGUGAAUUACUAGAGCGUCCUUCGGGAGCUCGAAAAACACUUUUAAACACAUCACGCAACAACUGUAUAUUUUUUAACGUUUUAUAAAGUAAUAGCAAGGCUCCUGUGCAUACAGGCAAAAUUAAACAAAUAAAACUUUCAACAACGGAUGUCUUGGCUCUC
rnacentral:misc_RNA from 1 species